rnacentral:rRNA from 1 species
CAAUGGGCGCGAGCCUGAUCCAGCCAUCCCGCGUGCAGGACGACUGCCUAUGGGUUGUAAACUGCUUUUAUACAGGAAGAUAAUGACGGUACUGUAUGAAUAAGCACCGGCUAACUCCGUGCCAGCAGCCGCGGUAAUACGGAGGGUGCAAGCGUUAUCCGGAUUCACUGGGUUUAAAGGGUACGUAGGCGGGCAUAUAAGUCAGUGGUGAAAUCUUGCGGCUCAACCGUAAAACUGCCAUUGAAACUGAAUGUCUUGAGAUUAAACGAGGUAGGCGGAAUGUAACAUGUAGCGGUGAAAUGCAUAGAUAUGUUACAGAACACCGAUAGCGAAGGCAGCUUACCGGUUUAUAUCUGACGCUAAGGUACGAAAGCGUGGGUAGCGAACAGGAUUAGAUACCCUGGUAGUCCACGCCGUAAACGAUGAUUACUCGCUGUUCCUUCGGGAGUGGCCAAGCGAAAGCGUUAAGUAAUCCACCUGGGGAGUACGUCCGCA